rnacentral:rRNA from 1 species
GAGUUUGAUCCUGGCUCAGAGCGAACGCUGGCGGCAGGCUUAAUACAUGCAAGUCGAGCGCCUGUAGCAAUACAGGAGCGGCAGACGGGAGAGUAACACGUGGGAACGUGCCCUUUGGUUCGGAACAACACAGGGAAACUUGUGCUAAUACCGGAUAAGCCCUUACGGGGAAAGAUUUAUCGCCAAAGGAUCGGCCCGCGUCUGAUUAGCUAGUUGGUGGGGUAAUGGCCCACCAAGGCGACGAUCAGUAGCUGGUCUGAGAGGAUGAUCAGCCUCAUUGGGACUGAGACACGGCCCAAACUCCUACGGGAGGCAGCAGUAGGGAAUAUUGGACAAUGGGCGCAAGCCUGAUCCAGCCAUGCCGCGUGAGUGAUGAAGGCCUUAGGGUUGUAAAGCCCUUUUCUGCGUGACGAGACAAGGACGGUAGCGCAGGAAUAAGUCUCGGCUAACUACGUGCCAGCAGCCGCGGUAAGACGUAGGAGGCAAACGUUAUCCGGAGUUACUGGGCGUAAAGCGCGUGUAGGCGGGUGCGUAAGUGGUUCGUGAAAUAUCCGGGCUAAACCCGGAGGGGACGAAUCAGACUGCGCGUCUGGAGGCGGGCAGAGGGGUGCGGAAUUCCGGGUGUAGCGGUGAAAUGCGCAGAGAUCAGGAGGAACACCCGUAGCGAAGGCGGCACUCUGGGCCGAUACUGACACUGAGGAGCGAAAGCGUGGGGAGCGAACAGGAUUAGAUACCCUGGUAGUCCACGCCGUAAACGUUGGGCACUAGGUGUGGGGUUCUAUCGACGGAUUCCGUGCCGUAGCUAACGCAUUAAGUGCCCCGCCUGGGGAGUACGGCCGCAAGGCUAAAACUCAAAGGAAUUGACGGGGGCCCGCACAAGCGGCGGAGCAUGUGGCUUAAUUCGAUGCAACGCGAAGAACCUUACCUGGGUUUGACAUGUAGGGAAAAGCCGUAGAGAUACGGUGUCCUUCGGGGCCCUACACAGGUGGUGCAUGGCUGUCGUCAGCUCGUGUCGUGAGGUGUUGGGUUAAGUCCCGCAACGAGCGCAACCCUCGUACUUAGUUGCCACCAUUAAGUUGGGCACUCUAGGUAGACUGCCGGCGUUAAGCCGGAGGAAGGUGGGGACGACGUCAAGUCAUCAUGGCCCUUAUGUCCAGGGCCACACACGUGCUACAAUGGGCGGCACAAAGGGUCGCGAACCCGCGAGGGGGAGCCAAUCCCAAAAAGCCGUUCUCAGUUCGGAUUGGAGUCUGCAACUCGACUCCAUGAAGUUGGAAUCGCUAGUAAUCGCGGAUCAGCACGCCGCGGUGAAUACGUUCCCGGGCCUUGCACACAC